rnacentral:rRNA from 1 species
AGAGUUUGAUCCUGGCUCAGAACGAACGCUGGCGGCGUGCCUAACACAUGCAAGUCGAACGAGAAACUCCGAGCUUGCUCGGAGGAGUAAAGUGGCGCACGGGUGAGUGACGCGUGGGUAACCCGCCCUUGAAUUUGGGAUAACCCCGUGAAAACGGGACUAAUACCGAAUAUUGUCCUGAGAACUGUGGUUUUCGGGAUGAAAGGUGACCUCUUCAUGAAAGUUGCCGUUCAGGGAAGGGCUCGCGUACCAUUAGCUUGUUGGUAGGGUAAUGGCCUACCAAGGCGACGAUGGUUAGCUGGUCUGAGAGGAUGAUCAGCCACACUGGAACUGAAACACGGUCCAGACUCCUACGGGAGGCAGCAGUGAGGAAUUUUGCGCAAUGGGGGAAACCCUGACGCAGCAACGCCGCGUGAGUGAAGAAGGCCUUCGGGUCGUAAAGCUCUGUCAAGUGGGAAAAAAUGUCCCGGGUCAAUAGCCUGGGAAAUUGAUGGUACCACUGGAGGAAGCACCGGCUAACUCCGUGCCAGCAGCCGCGGUAAUACGGGGGGUGCAAGCGUUGUUCGGAAUUACUGGGCGUAAAGAGCGUGUAGGCGGUUUGGCAAGUCAGAUGUGAAAGCCCCGGGCUCAACCCGGGAAGUGCAUUUGAAACUACCAUACUUGAGUAUGGGAGAGGAGAGUGGAAUUCCCAGUGUAGAGGUGAAAUUCGUAGAUAUUGGGAGGAACACCCGUGGCGAAGGCGACUCUCUGGACCAAUACUGACGCUGAGACGCGAAAGCGUGGGGAGCAAACAGGAUUAGAUACCCUGGUAGUCCACGCUGUAAACGAUGAGAACUAGGUGUAGCGGGUAUUGACCCCUGCUGUGCCGAAGUUAACGCAUUAA